UACGAAGGGGGCUAGCGUUGUUCGGAAUUAGUGGGCGUAAAGCGCGCGCAGGCGGUUCUUCAAGUCAGUGGUGAAAGCCCGGAGCUCAACUCCGGGCCUGCAGUCGAUACGGGCAAACUAGAGUACUGCAGGGGAGACUGGAAUUCCUGGUGUAGCGGUGAAAUGCGCAGAUAUCAGGAGGAACACCGGUGGCGAAGGCGGGUCUCUGGGCAGUAACUGACGCUGAGGAGCGAAAGCGUGGGGAGCGAACAGG
rnacentral:rRNA from 1 species